rnacentral:rRNA from 1 species
GACGAACGCUGGCGGCAUGCCUAAUACAUGCAAGUCGAGCGAACAGAUGAAGUGCUUGCACUUCUGACGUUAGCGGCGAACGGGUGAGUAACACGUAAGGAAUCUACCUAUAAGCGGGGGAUAACAUUCGGAAACGGUUGCUAAUACCACAUAAUAUCUUCUUCCGCAUGGAAGAAGAUUGGAAGACGGCUCUGCUGUCACUUAUAGAUGACCUUGCGGUGCAUUAGUUAGUUGGUGGGGUAAUGGCCUAACAAGACAAUGAUGCAUAGCCGACCUGAGAGGGUGGUCGGCCCCAUUGGGACUGAGACACGGCCCAAACUCCUACGGGAGGCAGCAGUAGGGAAUCUUCCGCAAUGGGCGAAAGCCUGACGGAGCAAUGCCGCGUGAGCGAAGAAGGCCUUCGGGUCGUAAAACUCUGUUAUAAGAGAAGAACAAAUUGUAGAGUAACUGCUACAGUCUUGACGGUAUCUUAUCAGAAAGCCACGGCUAACUACGUGCCAGCCGCCGCGGUAA